GAGGUGAUCCAGCCACACUGGAACUGAGACACGGUCCAGACUCCUACGGGAGGCAGCAGUGGGGAAUAUUGCACAAUGGGCGCAAGCCUGAUGCAGCCAUGCCGCGUGUAUGAAGAAGGCCUUCGGGUUGUAAAGUACUUUCAGCGGGGAGGAAGGGAGUAAAGUUAAUAC
rnacentral:rRNA from 1 species